AUUUUUUGAAAUACUGAAGCUUCGUCCAGAGUAACACAAAAAAGAAAACGAGGAUGUCCAAUCGGAUCACGUACGAAAUCGAAAGUUCGUCUAAUAAACGAUCAACCAACAUUCAAACCGAAAUUCUAUAACUGUGGCUGUGAUAUUUGCAACUCUUAUGUCAAACAAAAAAAUGCACGUAACAUGAGAAGGGCUAUCUUGCUAUCAAAACGAAUUUCAGCACUGUCACAAUAUGGUCAGUCAGGUCCACAUGGCUUGCGACACAGUCGACAAAAAAAAGGGUACAUACUAUAUAUUUAUUCUAAAUAAGAAAAAUAUAAGAACUUAGUAUAUAUUUGAUAAUUGU